AUCAAUCCAACGCAAAUUGUGCCCAAUCACUGUUUAGAUUGAGCAAUCGAAUAAUAUGGUUAUUUAAUGGUAUUUCCUACAAUUACAAAACAAUAUAUUCUAAUCGACAUAAAAUUUAAGUAAAUAAAUAUUCAUAAUAUCUUAGAAAUAACUAAUUACUCUUUUUUUUUUUUGUAAACCAACUAAUUACUCAUUUUUUGCGACAUUUUGGCAAUAUCCCUACUAUAGUAAAAGAGAAACACACAAGCUUCUUGGGUCGGGUUUUGUAAAGAAAUUAGCCUGAAAUUUUUAAUUGGAUACCUUAAAAUCGG
rnacentral:lncRNA from 1 species